AUUGAACGCUGGCGGCAGGCCUAACACAUGCAAGUCGAGCGGGUGAAGGGAGCUUGCUCCUGGAUUCAGCGGCGGACGGGUGAGUAAUGCCUAGGAAUCUGCCUGGUAGUGGGGGAUAACGUCCGGAAACGGGCGCUAAUACCGCAUACGUCCUGAGGGAGAAAGUGGGGAUUCUUCGAACCCACGGCUAUAGAUUGACCCUAGGUCGGAUUAGCUAGUUGGUGGGGUAAAGGCCUACCAAGGCGACGAUCCGUAACUGGUCUGAGAGGAUGAUCAGUCACACUGGAACUGAGACACGGUCCAGACUCCUACGGGAGGCAGCAGUGGGGAAUAUUGGACAAUGGGCGAAAGCCUGAUCCAGCCAUGCCGCGUGUGUGAAGAAGGUCUUCGGAUUGUAAAGCACUUUAAGUUGGGAGGAAGGGCAGUAAGUUAAUACCUUGCUGUUUUGACGUUACCAACAGAAUAAGCACCGGCUAACUUCGUG
rnacentral:rRNA from 1 species